GACGAACGCUGGCGGCGUGGUUAAGGCAUGCAAGUCGAACGAGAAAGUCACCUUCGGGUGGCGAUUAAAGUGGCGAAAGGGUGAGGAAUGCUUGGAUAACCUACCCUCGAGCGGGGCAUAGCCCACCGAAAGGUGGAUUAAUACCGCGUACGACCCGGUUAAGGCAUCUUGGCCGGAUGAAAGGAGGAGCCCUUCGGGGCUUUUUCACUCGAGGAGGGGUCCAAGUCGUAUCAGCUUGUUGGUAGGGUAACGGCCUACCAAGGCAACGACGCGUAUGGGGCCUGAGAGGGUGAUCCCACACACUGGGACUGAGACACUGCCCAGACUCCUACGGGAGGCUGCAGUCGAGAAUCUUUGGCAAUGGACGAAAGUCUGACCAAGCGACGCCGCGUGGAGGAGGAAGGCCUUCGGGUUGUAAACUCCUGUCAGGGGGCGAGAAUAAGCGCGUUAACCCCGCGUGAUGACUACCCCCAAAGGAAGCCACGGCUAACUCCGUG
rnacentral:rRNA from 1 species